UCCUGACUGACCGAUAGUGAACCAGUACCGUGAGGGAAAGGCGAAAAGAACCCCGGCGAGGGGAGUGAAAAAGAACCUGAAACCGUGUACGUACAAGCAGUGGGAGCACGCUUAGGCGUGUGACUGCGUACCUUUUGUAUAAUGGGUCAGCGACUUAUAUUCUGUAGCAAGGUUAACCGAAUAGGGGAGCCGAAGGGAAACCGAGUCUUAACUGGGCGUUAAGUUGCAGGGUAUAGACCCGAAACCCGGUGAUCUAGCCAUGGGCAGGUUGAAGGUUGGGUAACACUAACUGGAGGACCGAACCGACUAAUGUUGAAAAAUUAGCGGAUGACUUGUGGCUGGGGGUGAAAGGCCAAUCAAACCGGGAGAUAGCUGGUUCUCCCCGAAAGCUAUUUAGGUAGCGCCUCGUGAAUUCAUCUCCGGGGGUAGAGCACUGUUUCGGCAAGGGGGUCAUCCCGACUUACCAACCCGAUGCAAACUGCGAAUACCGGAGAAUGUUAUCACGGGAGACACACGGCGGGUGCUAACGUCCGUCGUGAAGAGGGAAACAACCCAGACCGCCAGCUAAGGUCCCAAAGUCAUGGUUAAGUGGGAAACGAUGUGGGAAGGCCCAGACAGCCAGGAUGUUGGCUUAGAAGCAGCCAUCAUUUAAAGAAAGCGUAAUAGCUCACUGGUCGAGUCGGCCUGCGCGGAAGAUGUAACGGGGCUAAACCAUGCACCGAAGCUGCGGCAGCGACGCUUAUGCGUUGUU
rnacentral:rRNA from 1 species